CAGUAGCCGCGGUAAAACGUAGGUGGCAAGCGUUGUCCGGAAUUAUUGGGCGUAAAGGGCUCGCAGGCGGUCUCUUAAGUCUGAUGUGAAAGCCCCCGGCUCAACCGGGGAGGGUCAUUGGAAACUGGGAAACUUGAGUGCAGAAGAGGAGAGUGGAACUCCACGUGUAGCGGUGAAAUGCGUAGAGAUGUGGAGGAACACCAGUGGCGAAGGCGGCUCUCUGGUCUGUAACUGACGCUGAGGAGCGAAAGCGUGGGGAGCGAACAGGAUUAGAUACCCGCGUAGUCCCUGUCUCUUAUAU
rnacentral:rRNA from 1 species